CGGGACGUGGCGCAGCCUGGUAGCGCACUUGACUGGGGGUCAAGGGGCCGCCGGUUCAAAUCCGGCCGUCCCGACCA
rnacentral:tRNA from 1 species